rfam:Danio rerio unplaced genomic contig CTG3250, GRCz11 reference primary assembly.
GGUAGCGUGGCCGAGCGGUCUGAGGCGCAAGAUUAAGGCUUCAGUCUCUUUGGGGGUGUGGGUUUGAAUCCCACCGCUGCCA